GGAUGUGAAGGGAAUCUGACUGUGAGAUCUGUUAUGCCAUUGAUCCCCAGGGUUAAUUCAGCUGAUCUGGCUGCCUACGUAUAUUUCCUUUCCACUCAUCC
rnacentral:snRNA from 1 species